rnacentral:rRNA from 14 species
UUCUUGCUACAUGGAUAACUGUGGUAAUUCUAGAGCUAAUACAUGCCGAAAAAUCUCGACUUCUGGAAGAGAUGUAUUUAUUAGAUCCAAAACCAAUGGCCUUCGGGUCUCCUUGGUGAAUCAUGAUAACUGCUCGAAUCGCAUGGCCUUGCGCCGGCGAUGCUUCAUUCAAAUAUCUGCCCUAUCAACUUUCGAUGGUAGGAUAGAGGCC